GUCUGGGUAGCUCAGUUGGUUAGAGCAGAGGACUGAAAAUCCUCGUGUCGGAAGUUCAAAUCUUCCUCUAGACA
rnacentral:tRNA from 1 species